UCUGUAGAUAGUUGGUAUUGCAAAUUCAGUGAAUAAAAUCUGAUUCUAUUGUUUGUAUAUUUUGUAUAUGACAUCUGCAAGUAGUAUAGUAUCAAAAUGUCAGAUAUCUUAUGUAUAUAAAAAAAAAUUUGUCCAAAAUCCUAUAUUAUACAACCCCUUAGAAAAGAUUAGGAUCCUCCUAUUUUGUCUAUGUAAUUUUCUAAAAAAGCUAUAUUGUCUGAGAUCAUCUGUGAAGGCAGGAUUUUGGAGUAUGACUGAUGCCAUGGAUUCCAUUCAUACCCUUGGUACACUUUUCUAUAUGCCAUAAAUAUUAUAUCAUUGCUACUCUGUUGAACCACUGCAGGAGUUAGAAACUGGAGAUUUUUUUGGAUUUGUUUACAUAAAACAUCAUCAGAAAUCAGCCUACAUCACAACAUGGCAGUGUCUAGAACAGUAGAAUUAUUUUUGUA
rnacentral:lncRNA from 1 species